CCCUUAGAUGUUCUGGGCCGCACGCGCGCUACACUGACGCAUUCAACGAGUCUAAAACCUGGUCUGAUAGGGCUGGGUAAUCUUUUGAAUGUGCGUCGUGAUUGGGAUAAAUGAUUGUAAUUCUUCAUUUUCAACGAGGAAUGCCUAGUAGGCGCAAGUCAUCAGCUUGCGUCGAUUACGUCCCUGCCCUUUGUACACACCGCCCGUCGCUCCUACCGAUUGGGUGUGCUGGUGAAAUGUUCGGAUCGGCCGUUUGUCGCGGUUUCCGCGUCAUGUGGCUGAGAAGUUCAUUAAACCCUCCCACCUAGAGGAAGGAGAAGUCGUAACA
rnacentral:rRNA from 1 species